UGCAAGUGGUAGGAAUCUGAAAGGACCGACCUUCGGGAGCUUGCACAGGUGCUGCAUGGCUGUCGUCAGCUCGUGUCGUGAGAUGUUCGGUUAAGUCCGCUAACGAGCGCAACCCUCACUGUGUGUUAUAUGUGUCACACGGGACUGCCGGUUUUAAGCCGGAGGAAGGUGGGGAUGACGUCAAGUCAGCAUGGCCUUUAUAUCCUGGGCUACACACACGCUACAAUGGUCGGUACAAUAGGUUGCCAAGCCGCGAGGCGGAGCCAAUCCACAAAGCCGGCCUCAGUUCAGAUUGUAGGCUGCAACUCGCCUGCAUGAAGAUGGAGUUGCUAGUAACCGCAGGUCAGCAAUACUGCGGUGAAUGCGUUCCCGGGUCUU
rnacentral:rRNA from 1 species